rnacentral:lncRNA from 14 species
AUGCUGGAGCCUGGCACCGCUGUGAGCUCUGGCUCCGAGUGACCCUUUCCAUGCAUCCCACAGAGGCUCAGGUGGCUCCCGAUGUCUGCUUCAAGCACAACAGCGAGCAGCACCUUCACCUCCACUGCCUCACCGAGUACGGGAAGCGGCCCUGCAGCCCCAAGGAUGUGAAGUGUGGCACACUGCUGUGCCUGAGCGACAACACCAGCCCCGUCCUCGGCGCCGGCUCCUACUCCCUCUUCUUCGGCCGCUUCAAGUGCAAGGCAGUCAUCGCCAGCAGCGAUGCCAACGAGGUGGUGGCCAAGCUGCGGCUGGUGCCCACCGGUGCCAAGUGUGGAGAGGAGAUGGUGUGCUAUGGUGGGCGCUGCCAGAACCUCCUGGUGUACGGCAACAAGAACUGCUCGGCCAAGUGCAACAACCACGGGGUACGCACUGGGGUCUGUCAGAGCACCGCUCCCGGCUCCCGCAGCGCUCACUGCCCUGAUGCCUUCCUCCCUCAUCCCAGGUGUGCAACCACAAACGGGAAUGUCACUGUGAGCCGGGCUGGGCAGCGCCCUACUGUGAGCAUCAGCUGUCGGGGAUGGAGACAGGUACGGACCCACCUUUGCCCGUCCCGCACCAGCAGCUGCAUCCAGGCGGAUGCUGCCCCAUCCCUCUGGAUGCCCAUCCCGACUCCGGCCGUGUCUCCACAGGGAACAGCAGUGUGGUG